ensembl:lncRNA novel transcript
GGUUGAGCGUCUAGCCCAUCUCUGCGUGACUUCCGCCAGCGUUUAGAGCGUUUUCGGGGUCCGAGUUGAAGAGCAAAACCAAGUGAAGGAAACUUCACUAAGUUCAGGGUGACAAGGGAGGAAGUACAGAGACUGCACUUUAAAUUCUGGAUGACAGACCUAUCAGGACUGAGUGGACCUUUGAGUGACAAGAUGGGGGUGUUCCAAAGAGACCAUGGCAGCCUGCAGCUAGGACUUUAAUUGAACUAUUGGCAUGGCUCAAUCCAUUGACCUGUUUUGGUUCCUGAUGAAGUUUUGUUAAUUUAAAUGAGAAAAAUAAGGACAGUGAAAAACAGAGCGCUUAAAAAGCACUGUCUGGAUAUCUUCAGAGGGAAAAAGGAGAAAGUUAACUGAAUUGGUGACACUUCGGGUCUCUCACAGAGGAAGAGACCACCAAACCAACAGAAGCCACCAGGACAGCACACAGCCAUUCCAAAAUUCCAGACCAGGAUCAUUCCAGAAAAGCCUUACAUCUCAGUCCAGUAUAUGGAUGGUUUUAUUAGAUGAAGGUGACCUUCCCCUUCGCC